rnacentral:lncRNA from 1 species
AUGCUCUUGAUCUCUGCCAACCCGUGCAUCUCCUUGCUGCUCCCUCAGCCCAAGCUCCUCACGCACCAAGGGAUACCUGAGAUGCAGUGCCGCAUCCCCUUGCUGCCACCUCCCGACUCCCACCUGCCCUGUCUCCGUUCUCCUCUUCGAUCCUCCUGCACAUGGGCAGUGCUCACUACACCGAGUUCUUCAAGACUAAUUCCCACAGUUACCCUAGUCCCGUCCAUUUGUUCUCCCCCUCUGCUCUGUUCUCUUCCUCCACCUCCCUUCACUCUCACUUCCUGCAGCGACUCACGCCGACGACCCUCCCAAAGCCCAUCUCUCCAACCGCUCCUCGCAGAGAUCACUCCACGCCUCACCUCCACUACCUCUUUCUUCUUUUCUUUGUGGACUGCUUUCUCCUCCAAUUUCUCCUUCUUCUCCUUCAUUUCCUACGCGCGAGAUAGGGAAAAACAUGGCAGCGCUCAGCGGCCAGAAACGAAGCGGAUCGGACGCGCGGUCCCAGACAAAGAGAGCUCGGGGCAGGAGACGCCGAACGGAGGCGCGGACGGCACCCGGCGUGCAGCCCGGCUCUCCCAAGCGCUCGGGGCAGCCCGGCUGGCGGCACGCCUCGGGGCCGGCCGCGCGGCGCCGGGCAGGGCGGCCCCGGACCAGGGGACGGCCCUCUCGCGCCGAGGCGCCCGCCCCCGGCCUCCUCCCGCCGGAGCGGGGCGGCAGGUUGUCGGCGCGCCUCCGGCCGUCCGGCCGCCACCUUUGCGCUCCGUUUUGGUCGGCUUUCCGCUUUUCUGUCGUCCGCUAAAGCCGCGCGCGGCCCCUCGCGCGUUCCCAGAUCCGCGGGACGGAGCGGCGCCGCAAGCGCCCCGCGCCCCCCUCGGCCCCGCGCCGCUCCGCCCCAUCCCCCCCCCCCCAACCUCGCCGAGCGGGAUCCCGCGCGCGGGCCCUCGCGCCCCCCGCCCCCGCUCCCCAUUGGCGGAGGGCCGCGCGCGCCCCCCCCCGUCGGCCGGGCGGUCGGGGCCGCUGGGAGGGGGCGGCCGACGGGGGCGCGCGCCGCGGGCGGGAGCGAGCCGCGGGGGGUCUCACCUUGGCGCUCAGCUCCGCCGGCGCCUCCUCGACGCGUUUCUCCGACAUCCCGUCAGGGGCAGCGCUGGGGCCGCUCGCGAACGUCGGGGACCCCCGAGGAGAGAGGGCGCUGGGAGGGGGGGAGGGUGGCACGCGGCGGGAGCUCCGAGUCCCAGCGGUCCGGCAGCGCGGCUCCCGCCCCGGGGCCAAAGUGCCUAG